CUACGGGCGGCUGCAGUGAGGAAUAUUGCACAAUGGGGGGAACCCUGAUGCAGCAACGCCGCGUGGAGGAUGACGCAUUUCGGUGUGUAAACUCCUUUUAUAUGUCAAGAAAAUGACGGUAGCAUAUGAAUAAGCGCCGGCUAACUCCGUGCCAGCAGCCGCGGUAAUAGGGAGGGUGCAAGCGUUACUCGGAAUCACUGGGCGUAAAGGACGCGUAGGCGGGUUGGAAAGUCAGGUGUGAAAUCCUACAGCUUAACUGUAGAACUGCACUUGAAACUUCUAAUCUAGAGUAUGGGAGGGGGAGAUGGAAUUAGUGGUGUAGGGGUAAAAUCCGUAGAUAUCACUAGGAAUACCUAAAGCGAAGGCGAUCUCCUGGAACAUUACUGACGCUAAGGCGUGAAAGCGUGGGGAGCAAACAGGAUUAGAUACCCCCGUAGUC
rnacentral:rRNA from 1 species